GACGAACGCUGGCGGCAUGCUUAACACAUGCAAGUCGAACGGGAAUGCCCUGCUGUUGUGGGUUGCUCGGGUGGCGGACGGGGGAGUGAGACGUGAAUAUCCUGCCCUGGACUUUGUGAUAGCUUCAGGCAACUGAUGCUACUAGCUGAUGUUAGCUCCUCGUGCGUGGUGGGCGAUGGAAAGUGUCGGCGGUCGGGGAUGGACUCGCGGCUUAUCAUCUUGGUGGUGGGGUAGUGGCUUACCAAGGCGUUGGCGGGUCGCCGGCCUGAGAGGGUGAACGGGCACACUGGGACUGAGAGACGGACCCGAUGCCUCUGGGAGGCAGAAGUGGGGAAUAUUGUACAAUGGGCGGAAGACUGAGGCAGAAACGCUGCGUGUGGGAUGACGGCCUUCGGGGUGUAAAAAGCUUUCGCCUGUGACGAAGAGUGAGUGACGGUAAUGGGAAAAGAAGCACCGGCUAAAUACGUG
rnacentral:rRNA from 1 species